AUCCUGUGUAACAGCACAACUUGCUUGAGCAGAUUAACCAUCUCUGAAAAUGGGAAAGGUAAGAUGAUCUGAAUAUGUUAAACAUUUGUAACAAAAGAAAUAUUGAAAUAAAUAGCCAGAAUUGUGUUUUCAUUUAUGAACCAUAAACCUGCUGAACAAUAUAUUGUUAUGACUUAAUAUGGCUGAACAAUGGGUUUAAAAAUCUAGGAGAGAAAGAUGAAAAAAAAAACAAUCAAUGCCGAACAAAAUCAAUGUCAAGUACAAAAUUGAGAUAGGUGAUGUUUUCCUAGAGCUAUUGCAUAGAUUAAUCAAACCAGAUAUGUUUAAAGCAAUUUCACUUGUUUCAAAUAAAUCUGAUGUUUUCACUGAUGUAUUUGAUUUAUUUUUGUAAUGUGACUCAUUGUUAUCUAUUACAAUUAAUAUGGUUUGUAAAUAAUAAUAAAUGAAAAAAUCUAAAAUGUUCAAAUUCAUAAUUCUAUUCUUAGAUUGUCUUCUACGAGGAUCGUAACUUUCAGGGUCGCUCUUAUGAGUGUAACUCUGAGUGUCCAGAUUUGUCCUCAAAUUUUCAUCGCUGCAAUUCCAUCCGAGUGGAAAAUGGAAACUGGAUCCUAUAUGAGCACCCCAACUAUAGAGGACACCAGUAUUAUCUUAGCAGGGGAGAAUAUCCUAAUUUUCAGCAAUGGAUGGGUUUCAAUGACUCUAUCAGAUCUUGUCGUAUUAGCCCACAGGUAAAUAUGUUUACCAGAGCAAUUAAGAAUUUCACAAAAGUAUUAAAGUUGCAGUCCUAAAAGCAUUAUUGUCCAGUUACCAAGAGUAAUGGUUGAAAUAAAAACAUAUAUAUAUUAAUUUUUUUUUUUUUUAUUGCAUGAGUUGUUUAAUGGAAUAUAUCUUAAAUUCACAAUUAAAUUGUCAGGCAACAGGUGCGUUAAUAGCAAUAAAAAUGAUACUCUCAGUCUAGAUUUUUUGCAUGAAUUAUGCAAUUAUUAUAAUAAUAUUUAUUAAGUAUUUUUUUUAAUCUUCUUAAAGCACCACGGUUCAUUCAGAGUAAAGGUCUACGAGAAUGCAGAUUUUCGAGGUCAGAUGAUGGAGUUCACUGAAGAUUGUCCUCAUGUCUAUGAGAGAUUCCGUCACCAUGACAUCCACUCCUGCCAUGUGUUUGAUGGUUACUGGAUGUUCUAUGAGGAACCAAAUUACAGGGGCCGCCAGUAUUACCUGAGACCAGGAGAAUACAGAAAAUAUACCGACUGGGGUGCCAUGAACCCAAGAAUUGGCUCAUUCAGGAGACUUCACAAUUUCUAAUAAGCUGUAUUAAUUAAUACAUCAGAAUCUAGUUUAGAAUACAAUAAAAUAUUCAAAUAAUUAAUA
rnacentral:lncRNA from 1 species